rnacentral:rRNA from 1 species
AUUUAACGCUGGCGGCAGGCCUAACACAUGCAAGUCGAGCGAGCGUCGGACGGGUGAGUAAUGUCUGGGAAACUGCCUGAUGAAGGGGGAUAACUACUGGAAACGGUAGCUAAUACCGCAUACCAUCAGAUGUGCUCAGAUGGGAUUAGCUAGUAGGGGGGGUAAUGGCUCACCUAGGCGACGAUCCCUAGCUGGUCUGAGAGGAUGACCCGCCACACUGGAACAGAGACACGGUCCAGACGCCUGCGGGAGGCAGCUGAGGGGAUGAUUGCACAAUGGGGGCAAGCUUGAUGCAGCCAGCACGCGUGUGUGAAGAAGGCCGUCGGAUUGUAGAGCACCUCCAGCGGGCAGGCGUUCCCCGCAGAAGAAGGUUCGGCGAACUACGUGCCAGCCGCCGCGGUAAUAC